rnacentral:lncRNA from 1 species
GGUGCUUGGUCUACUGUUUUCCUCCUCCAUUCCAUCUUGGACCGUUACCCAUUUGAUUAGUACUAUAACUGACCAAGAUUCCGAGAAAACAUUUAUUAAGAAAUGGCCCUGGCUUGAUCACGUGUUGCCCAGCAGUCAACAAAUUUCACACAUUGAUAGACAGAACAUACUGUAAUUCUAUGUUUGAAUCCUGGAUCGUAGCAUUUUCUUGCUGGAAAUAGAUUGACGUCAAGAAGCAAAAUACUUAUUUCUUACCUAGAGUUAUAUACCACUCAGAUUGUAAUGUAAGAAAUAAAUUUCACCGCUUCACUAUCUCAUAAAUCGAACAUGCAAGUGAUAGAUUUCCA